rnacentral:rRNA from 1 species
GGACCCGUCUUGAAACACGGACCAAGGAGACCUGCAUGUGUGCUAGUCAUUGAGACUAUACACAAAACUGAAAGGCACAACAAAAGUGAAGGCGUGCGCUUGUCGCGCGCUCAGGGAGGAUGGAGCGUCGGUCUAGAUCGAUCUCUCACACUCCCGAGGCGUCUCGUUUCCAAUCCGUGAAUGCAGGCGCGCUCUGAGCACAGAUGCUGGGACCCGAAAGAUGGUGAACUAUACA